rnacentral:rRNA from 1 species
AUUGAACGCUGGCGGCAUGCCUUACACAUGCAAGUCGAACGGCAGCACGGGUGCUUGCACCUGGUGGCGAGUGGCGAACGGGUGAGUAAUACAUCGGAACAUGUCCUGUAGUGGGGGAUAGCCCGGCGAAAGCCGGAUUAAUACCGCAUACGAUCCACGGAUGAAAGCGGGGGACCUUCGGGCCUCGCGCUAUAGGGUUGGCCGAUGGCUGAUUAGCUAGUUGGUGGGGUAAAGGCCUACCAAGGCGACGAUCAGUAGCUGGUCUGAGAGGACGACCAGCCACACUGGGACUGAGACACGGCCCAGACUCCUACGGGGGGCAGCAGUGGGGAAUUUUGGACAAUGGGCGAAAGCCUGAUCCAGCAAUGCCGCGUGUGUGAAGAAGGCCUUCGGGUUGUAAAGCACUUUUGUCCGGAAAGAAAUCCUUGGCUCUAAUACAGUCGGGGGAUGACGGUACCGGAAGAAUAAGCACCGGCUAACUACGUG